rnacentral:lncRNA from 1 species
GGUACCAUCUAUCGAGGAGGAGAUUUUGAAUCUGACUGCAAGAACACCCGUGACAGUUCGAAGGAGGUAUAUCGGAGGCCUUUCCAUCUCAAACAUCUCAAAUAAAUCGCAGCUGAUUGACGGUUGGCCCCA